rnacentral:lncRNA from 1 species
AGAAGGGUGGGGGUAGCGUUGAAAGCCCAGACCACGGCUUUGUCUUCUCACAGCAGCUUGCAGGCUCAGAGCCAUGUCCUGGUGGAGCGAUAGCACGGUCCAGCUUGUUUGGGGCCAGAGCUGAAUCACCAUGAAUCCCCCACAGCGUUGGUUGGCAGCAGCUGCUUAAAGAGACCCAGGACCAAAAUAACAGAAGUGAGUAGACGUUCUGGCUAGAAUUGGCUGGAGGAGAGAAUUUGUCAGAAUCUCUUGAGAGGGAAAGGCCAGGCCUGUCUGCUGGGCAAAGGUGAAAUCAGAGGUUUCCAGUUGGCUUGGUGGUUGUUCGUACCCAUGAAGGAAGGACGAGAAGCAAGGUGCAGGAAGGAGAGUGAGGCAGCUGCCCCUCGGCCACCGGGAAGCACCAGGAACCACUGCAUGCCCAGCAGCACCCCUCGAAGUGCCUGGCUAAGGCCAGCACCCGUCUCAAGAGACAAGAGCUCUGGAUCCAUCAAGGAUUCUUACUUUGGAGAAUAUAGGAACUUCUGGCCCUGUGGAGAUGUUUGGGUAGAAAGCAAAGACCCUCGACUGAAGGACCAGCUUGUGUGUGGACCUGAGCUAGCAGAAGACGUGAGGCGAAGGGGGCCUGUGACUCAGAGGGCUUGCCAUCGCAGACUGGGGCCCUCUUUCCUUCGGCUGACAUCCUCUUCGGCUGCCUGCUGCUGGCAUCUUCCCCGCCCAGCCCCUGCAUCCCUGUUUCCCCACACCCUCGCCGCCCGCCCCACCUCCCACACCUGCCUGCCUUUGCACAGAGCGAUCCCUCGUGUUUGCUCCACUAUCGUCCAGCCGGAUGCUGAGUGA